CACCCUGGAUUUAUCGAUCUCACACCACUUCAUCCUAUUUCGGCCGCGGCGAGGAUCGCACCCGUGCAGGAACACAACACCAAAACUACGCUAAUCUGCGUGAUACAUUGCGUGCGUGUAUGUACACGAGUUAUCAGCCACUGAUGACCACGUGGGCGAAAAGGCGUCGGACGUAAGAAGAUGGAACGCAGAAGUUCGCCGUUCAGUCUUGAGGAGUUCUUCAAAGCGACGUCACUCAGAUCGCAUAUCGCGUCAUCGCUGAGUCUCGACCAGUUAAUCAACAAUGGCAAUAUUGAACGCGGGUAUUGGUUCGGACAAUUUCGAGCAUCCCUCGGUAUUUACUGAUUUGCCAAGUAGUCGGAAUUUCACGCGAGCAUGGUGAUUACUGAGUCACUUGCUUCAAAAACUAUAUAUUGUAUUAUCACGAUAGAAAAUGCAGAUAUCUCUUAAUAAUGAGAAGAACUGUAAUACUGAACAGCAAAAUGGGACUCGUGGCUACGACAGUGUCCGGGAGGCCGUUUGGUCACGACCUUUAAGAAGAUAUAUCUACGUCAACGACUACACGAUAAUGACGAUUGGAUUCACGCCACUGCAUAUUUAAGUUCCGUAAUGUGAUGCAAUGACUCCGUGGAACGGCGUUUUAGAUUGUUCUGUUCACAAUUCGGGGAUGAUCCGGAAGGCGAGAGUUGUGGCGAGCCACUGUUCAAAUGUACCUGAUCACCGCCAGUCGGCGAAUUUUUUGGGAAUCGGAACUUUGCUCUUAAAAAACAUCAAGAUCGGCAGAAAAAUAUACAUAUAAUAACGGCUCUCCUCCGGAAUGGAUCAGCUGUAGUUUCGUUGAUCGAUGUCAAUCCGCAGGGUCACCAUCGUGUACUCGCUACUCGUUUCAUAGCGACUCAAGAAAUUCCUAGAACGCGAAUGCACUUGCAUACUGCCAAAGAAAAAAAUUCCGACUCCGUAGAUCUUUUAUGAAAAAUGUAAUGGACGUCUCCAUUGAUG